rnacentral:rRNA from 1 species
AUACGGAGGGUGCAAGCGUUACUCGGAAUCACUGGGCGUAAAGCGCGCGCAGGCGGCCUGAUAAGUUGGAUGUGAAAGCCUACGGCUCAACCGUAGAACUGCAUCCAAAACUGUCAGGCUAGAGUGUGCGAGAGGAAGAUGGAAUUAGUUGUGUAGGGGUAAAAUCCGUAGAGAUAACUAGGAAUACCAAAAGCGAAGGCAAUCUUCUGGAACACUACUGACGCUGAGGCGCGAAGGCGUGGGGAGCAAACAGAAUUAGAAACCCUAGUAGUCC